UAACAAGGUUUCCGUAGGUGAACCUGCGGAAGGAUCAUUGUCGAACCCUGCAAAGCAGAAUGACUUGUGAACUUGUAACAACAACACGGCUUUGCAAGGAUUGUUUGCUUAUGCUUUGAUCCUUGUAGGCCCUUGUCGAUGUUUGUUCAUGGUUGCCUUUUGUGCUUUCAUGGACAUUAUGUUGACACAACAACCCCCGGCACAACACGUGCCAAGGAAAAACUAUACAUAGAAGGGCCCGUGCCAUGAUGCCCCGUUUGCGGUGUGCUCACUGUACGUGGCUUCUUUGAAAUCAUAAACGACUCUCGGCAACGGAUAUCUCGGCUCACGCAUCGAUGAAGAACGUAGCAAAAUGCGAUACUUGGUGUGAAUUGCAGAAUCCCGUGAACCAUCGAGUUUUUGAACGCAAGUUGCGCCCGAAGCCAUCCGGUUGAGGGCACGUCUGCCUGGGCGUCACGCAUCUUGUUGCCCACACCAUGACUCCCUAUUUGGGUUUUGUGUGUUGGGGCGGAAAGUGGCCUCCCGUGCCUCAUAGGGGCAUGGUUGGCCUAAAAUUAGAGUCCUCUUAAAGAUGGAUGCACGACUAGUGGUGGUUUGUAACAUAGUCGUCUCGUGUUGUGUGUCCUUACUCUUGAGGGGAGAACCUCUUAAUUUAACCCGGUGCAUUGUCUUAUGAUGAUGCUUCGAUCGCGACCCCAGGUCAG
rnacentral:rRNA from 1 species